AUAAGUUUGGCGUAUGUCUUUGAUCCUGGGGGAUAUCAAGGUAUUUUGUGCUUUGAUACUGUAUUUAACUCGGUAUAUAAAUUAAAAAUACUUUCAAAGAUGGUUGCAAAAUGAAUGCAAACUAUUGUAAGUGCAAUAUUUUAAAAAUACUGGUGCUAAAAAGGCUUGUGAAGGAUAUGGAAAUAUAUACCUACGAGUGUGUACGAUCAGGCAUUAAUGGAAGGAUCACUUCAAAUCGCAAAAGAGCAUCAAAAAGUCAAGGUACUGCCAAAAUAAAUUAUGGAUGUACAAGCCAAAUUAUAGUAAAAAGAAAUAUAGAAACUGAUGAAUGUGUUUUAUGAACUAUUUUAAAAAACAUUAUGGGCACGAAAAAGAAAUACAGCAUUUGAAGAUUCCAGAGUCAGAUCGGCAGAGUAUAGCCUCAAAACUACUUUUAGGAGUACCCCUUCCAAGGAAGAUAACAUAAUAUUUUUAUUGCUAUUUUUAAUUAUCACAUUUUUUAAAAGAAUUUUAGAAUAUGUAAGAGACAACAUUGAAGGCCCUGAACUAAGUAAGACUGAUUUACUCUCACUGCAAGACAUUCAUAAUGUGAAAAACUCUUUUAAAAUUAAUAUUAUGGAAGGAUGUUACCAUCAAACAGAUUCUGAGAGUAUUCGAAUAUGGGUUGAGAAAUGCAAGGCAGGACAAAAUAAUCCAAUAAUUUUUUAUAAACCACAAGAUUCUAGGUUAAAUCCAGAAGAUUUCUGUUUAAUUUUUAUAAAUCAGACACAAAAGGAUCUGGCAAAGAAAUUUGGACAUCAUGCAAUU